GUUUUGGAAGGUUGAUACCGGCUUCUAUCCCAAAGUCAGCAAGCGUGUUGAAGUAUUCAGCUACGACAUCCCGUUCUUCCUUAACAUCACCUAUCAUGCAUACUUGACCUGAUGGAAAAGCUCGUCGAGGUAAGGAGAGAUGUGGUAGAAGAGGACGCAUGCAAGGUUAUCCCACCGUGUGCUGCUCUUGAUCAGAUUUCAUAGUGCUUUGUAUUCGAGCUGCCAAUUACGGUAUACCAGCAACAUUGGACACGACGGUGGCGAGUGGGCCGGCUUCGUAUGUCGUAAACGACGCACCGGUGACUGCUUCGGUUCGAAUCUUCUGGCCUGCGAUUACUAUCGAUCAGGCUUCUAUCGAAGACAGCAUGCUGCCUCGACUACACUAGAUCUUUUGUCCUUUCUUUGAGGUCGUGUUCUUAUGCAGAGCUUGUUCAACUAUUAAAAGAA